rnacentral:lncRNA from 1 species
CUCAUAGGAUGGAGCAAUCGCAUGGAAAUUGGUUGAUGCCACCCCCACAAACGUCUCAUUUUGAUAAUCAUGCUCAUGCGAGAGAAUUGGUGCCAAAACCUGCAUUGGUACAAGAACAUGAGACAGGGAAACCUGCUGAAGGAAAUUGUAGGCUCUUUGGCAUUCCCUUGUUUCGUAAUCCAGUUACAACCGAGCCAGCAGCCUCACAUAGAAACAUGGUCAGUGAGCCUCU